rnacentral:rRNA from 1 species
CACGGGGUUGCGAGCGUUGUCCGGAAUUACUAGGCGUAAAGGGCAGGCAGGCGGAUCCAUAAGUUUAUCGUUUAAGGCGUCGGCUUAACCGGCGUAGGGCGGUAGAUACUGUGGAUCUGGAAUGCGGUUGGGGAAGACAGAAUUCCUGGUGUAGCGGUGGAAUGCGCAGAGAUCAGGAGGAAUACCGAGGGCGAAGGCAGUCUUCCAAUCCGUUAUUGACGCUCAACUGCGAAGGUGUGGGUAUCAAACAGGAUUAGAUACCCGCGUAGUCCCUGA